CGUAGAGGCCUGACCUCCACUCUCCAACACUGUGCACUAUUUGGCUUGUAAGAAGAAGCGCUUCGGCGUGGUAAUCUAACAAGCGGCUUCAUUUUAAACACUAGUUAAAGAAUGUAACAAAAAACAAAACUAAAAAAACUUUCAACAACGGAUCUCUUGGCUCUCGCAUCGAUGAAGAACGCAGCGAAAUGUGAUAAGUAAUGUGAAUUGCAGAAUUCAGUGAAUCAUCGAAUCUUUGAACGCACCUUGCGCUCUCUGGUAUUCCGGAGAGCAUGCCUGUUUGAGUGUCAUGAACUCUUCAACCCACCAGUUUCUUGUAAACCGGAUGGUGUUUGGAUUUUGAGUGUUGCUGGACUUUAGUCGUAGCUCAUUCGUAAUAUAUUAGCAUCUCAAUUUCGAAAUUCGGAUUGACUCAGCGUGAUAGACUAUUCGCUGAGGACACCUUAGGGUGGCCGAAUGAGAAGACUUAGAAGCUUAUAAUCAGAUCUUAGUCAAUUUAAAUUUAGACCUCAGAUCAGGCAGGAUUACCCGCUGAACUUAAGCAUAUCAAUAAGCGGAGGA
rnacentral:rRNA from 1 species